GAUGAACGCUAGCUACAGGCUUAACACAUGCAAGUCGAGGGGUAACAGGAGGAAAGCUUGCUUUUCUUGCUGACGACCGGCGCACGGGUGAGUAACGCGUAUCCAACCUGGCCCAUAGUAGGGAAUAGCCCGGCGAAAGUCGGAUUAAUGCCCUAUGUUCUCCUUUGAUGGCAUCUGACGAGGAGCAAAGAUUCAUCGCUAUGGGAUGGGGAUGCGUCUGAUUAGGUUGUUGGCGGGGUAACGGCCCACCAAGCCAUCGAUCAGUAGGGGUUCUGAGAGGAAGGUCCCCCACAUUGGUACUGAGACACGGACCAAACUCC
rnacentral:rRNA from 1 species